rnacentral:rRNA from 1 species
UACGUAGGGUGCAAGCGUUAUCCGGAAUUAUUGGGCGUAAAGAGCUCGUAGGCGGUUUGUCGCGUCUGCUGUGAAAACUGGAGGCUCAACCUCCAGCCUGCAGUGGGUACGGGCAGACUAGAGUGCGGUAGGGGAGACUGGAAUUCCUGGUGUAGCGGUGAAAUGCGUAGAUAUCAAGAGGGAACACCCUGCGGCGAAGGCGGGUUGCUGGGCCGACA